rnacentral:tRNA from 1 species
UCGGGUAUGGUGUAACGGCUAACAUUGCCGCCUCUCAUUUACUUAGGAUCGCGGCAGCUCGGGGUUCGAUUCCCCGUACCCGAA